AAGUGCAAUGCAGCCAUGAACUUAAAGGCAAAGGCUUGAAAUUUGGGCAGGAUGCUGACAGCAGACUGCAAGAGUUCUGCUUUCACAUCUUGGGACAGGCAGAACAGGCUAUCACUAACUUCUGUUUGCUGGGAGUGCAGGACUCCAGCAGAAGUGAUGACUGCAUCAUCAACUCGCGGCCACACCUGCUAUUUUGGUAAAUAACAGAAAAAGAGCAGCAUCCUGUGCAUGAAAUAAUGUAUUGUCCAGAAUGAAGAGCAUAUAAACACAUCUCCCAAAGGGAGCAAGUUAUUUGUCAGCUCUUAUUUUAGGGAGAGAAAAUUUUCCUUCUAAAGUCCAUGGAGUCUGUUUUAUUAGCCUGCUAAAAAGAAUGAGGAACAUACUUAUGGCACCCCUCUCUGCAUUCUGAUAUAUUGAAUGAGAAAGAGCAGCACACCUGGAAGAAAUUGAAGCCAACAUUUUUGGGGAAAAAAAUGGUGGGGAGCAAAUGAGAGUAUAAAUGAGUUGAGUACUCCCUGGGAGGACACUGUGAUGGUGUAAGACUUCUCUCCUACUGUUCUGUAAAUGCAUUUUACCCCUGGCCUUCUGACGGAGGGUCCUGCAGUGAGCACUGAGGAAACAUUCACCUCCUUAUCAUCGUUCUCAUCCUCUAUAAGCUGAUUGCUUAUUUAUAAUGGACUUGUAUCAGACAUGGCAGAAUCUCAAAGAUCAAUUUCCUAGUAUCUGAUUCCUUUUCCUGUUCAAUAAGAGGGGAUAGAAAUACUUAAGAAUAAAGAAUAAGAAAACUUAAUUCAAAGAACUCUACAGUUCAGAACUCUACAGAAAAUAUAGCCUUGUAAGUAACUAUCAAAUUAGAGAGUGGUCUUAGAAAUGUAAAUUUUUGAGCAGAAUGACCCUUAGCUAUCAAUCUAAUUCAUGGACUUGUAGGGAAAACAAACACAAAAUUAUUUCCUUUUAAUGAAGAAGCAAGUAUAAUUUGUUACCAUUUGUGAAUUUAGCUGUAUAAAGCAAAUAAAGUUGUUCAAGCUUUUUGCAAAUCAAAUGAAGGAUACACUGAAUAUGGAUCACUCUUGCUGCAUUUAAGCUGGUAAGGAGCCAAUUACCAUUCUUACCUGUACAUACAAUUGAAAAUCACUCACUUUUUAAGGAAUACUUUUUCAUUAUUGUAAAUUAUGUUAUUUUUCCAUUAUGGUGUUAUUUGGAAUAUUUUAUUUAUUUGUUUGUUUAUCAUGUGUCUUUGAAAUAUCAUAAAAAGUCACUUAAUUCUGUUUUUCCAAAUUGGUAAAAUGCUUUUUCUUUUUCUUGGAAGACUCAUUUGUUGGAAACAGGUUCUGAACAAUUCAUCAAACUCUGAGUUUUAAGACUAAACUAGAUGGAAUUGUCCUGUUAUUGGAAGACAGGAACAGUAUGUAAGAAGCCAUUUGGCUAUGCAACUUUCACAUUUAAAUAUUUUCUUUGAUUCUUCCCUGUGUGUUUAACCAUCAGUUUUCAUCAUGCUACUGAAUUUAAUUAUUUAUGUAUUUCUAGAAGGACAUGGCAGGGGAAAAAAAGGGAGGACAUUUUACUUUCUUCCCAGUCUCUGAAGAAGCAAGAAUCACAAAAUGCUUGAGAUCAGAAGGGAAGUCUGGAUGUGGUCUUGUCCAACCCCUCUGAUCGAGGACAGCCACUUAGAUCUGCCUGCCCAGGAGCGUGUUCAGACUGCUUUUGAAUACUGCCAAGGAUGGAGACUCCACAACUUCCUGGGCAAUCUGUGCCAGGGUUCAGGCACCCUUAUGAUGAAAAGUGUUUCCUGAUGUUCAGAUGGAAUAUUCUGUAUUCCAGUUUGUGCCCAUUGCCUCUGGUCCUGUCACCAGGCAACGCUGAAAAGAGCCCGGCUCUGUCCUGUUGGCACCCUCCCUUCAGAAAUGUUUAUCUGUCAGCGAGAUUCUCCUGUGCCUUCUCCAGGGCAGAGUCUCAGCUCCCAGCCUGUGCUCACAGAAGAGAUUCUCCAGUUCCUUUAUCAUCUUCAUGCUUCUUCAUGGACUCUCUCCAUGCUUCUCUUGCAACAGUGGCUCUGGAACUGGACACUGCUCCAGAGGCCUCACCACUGCAGAGUAAAGAGGAAGGGCCCCCUCCCUUGGUGAGCUGGCAAUACUUUGUCUAAUGCAGCACAGCUCGUCAGUCACCUUUUUUGUUGCAGAGGCACACUGCUGGUUCAUGUUCAACUUGGUUUUCACCAGAACCCCCAAGUGCUUUCCUUCAAAGCUGAAUAUAUUUUUGUUCAUAGAACAUCUGUUUUCUCCAUGGUUUUUCGCUCACAGGGGAUGGAGGGGAACCAUUAAACAAAAAUGUACUUUUCCCAAGUAUUAUAUAAAGAGGACAGAAAAAAAAAAAUAGGGUUGGUAUGAGAAUUACUAGAAAAAAUACAGACUUUUUGAAGGUAGAGGUCCUUAAAAUUACAUCUACUGUAUGGUACACCAGCAGCUGUGCUUCUGUGUUCAGGAAUUGAGUGUUACUACAUCCUGAUGACUCAGAAGGUCAACAAAUACUGGAAUGUCUUCAUCACCAAAUCAUCCCUUUUGGAAAUUCAACUGGCCUUCUUUUAUAGUACUAAAACAGAAAACAUUGAAAAUGCAGUUCUGCUAAAAGGUUUCUCCCUUGUUCCCUCUCUGCUUGAUGAACUCACACAAUUCUCAGAUAAAGACAAAUCCUGUCAUUCAGUUGCAAAUGCUAAGUUAGUUUUCUGUUCAGCUGUCGAGCAGAUGCAUAAAGAAUAUCCCAUGAAGGUAUCUGUCUUGUUUCUGAGUGAUUAGAUAUUUAUCUGUUGCUAACUCUGCAUGAGUGUGUUAUUCCCUGAACAGAAAAGUUACUCAUUAAUGGUAGAUAUGGACAGAGAUAUCCAACAAAUACAACAUUUAUUAUAGAUAUUAGAAGAAUGGCAUUUGUGCAUGAAUAAGAAUCUCUUGAAAAUAUCUCCAUAACUCUUUCCCAUAUCUACCCAGUAAAAAUGGGAAUACAUAAAGAAAUGAUCACAUUUAUUAGGUUCAAUGUUUCCUAGCAUACUGAUGACACUUUUCCAGACUCCUAAAAAUUCUCUAGUGGGAUCUGAUCUCAUGACAAUUCCGAGUGAAAAAAAACCCUAAAUUGUUCCCAGAAUUAUGACUUCUACCUUUGUUUAAAAAAAA